CCUUAGAGUUUGAUCCUGGCUCAGGACGAACGCUGGCGGCGUGCCUAAUACAUGCAAGUCGAACGCGUCUCCGUUAAUGAUUUUAGGUGCUUGCACUUGAAAGAUUUAACAUUGAGACGAGUGGCGAACUGGUGAGUAACACGUGGGUAACCUGCCCUUGAAGUAGGGGAUAACACUUGGAAACAGGUGCUAAUACCGUAUAACAACCAAAACCACCUGGUUUUGGUUUAAAAGACGGCUUCGGCUGUCACUUUAGGAUGGACCCGCGGCGUAUUAGCUUGUUGGUAAGGUAACGGCCUACCAAGGCGAUGAUACGUAGCCGACCUGAGAGGGUAAUCGGCCACAUUGGGACUGAGACACGGCCCAAACUCCUACGGGAGGCAGCAGUAGGGAAUCUUCCACAAUGGACGAAAGUCUGAUGGAGCAACGCCGCGUGAGUGAUGAAGGGUUUCGGCUCGUAAAACUCUGUUGUUGGAGAAGAACAGGUGUCAGAGUAACUGUUGACAUCUUGACGGUAUCCAACCAGAAAGCCACGGCUAACUACGUGCCAGCAGCCGCGGUAAUACGUAGGUGGCAAGCGUUGUCCGGAUUUAUUGGGCG
rnacentral:rRNA from 1 species